CCGCAUCUUCCCCACGAACCCUAGCUGCGUCCUCGUCUCCUCCUCCAUCCACGCGCCUCGGCGGCGACCCUAUGGAGGGCGGCCGGGUCGGAGCGGUCCCCGCGUCCCUCCUUCCCCGCUCGGCGCUCUCUACUCCCAGCGCAGCUGCCGCCUCCCUCCACUCUUCCCAUCUCGCUAGAGCCGCCGCAUCCGGAGGCGACCGGCGUUGCUCCAUCUCGACCUGCCCGUAACCUUCUCUCCCCGCAGCGGGCGGAGAAGAUGGAGAGGAGCUCGUCCGCCCACCUUCCACCAUGGUUUGCAGCGGUCGGAGAAGAUGGAGAGGCCGAACUGCGGCUGCCUCGUGCGCGCUCUCCUGCAUCUCGCGCGGGAGCGAGUGGUGGUGACUAGCAUAGAAGGCGGAGGAGGUCAUUGGGGCCGGCUUCCCUUCCGUUUUGGCUGCCAAGCUCCACGCGUUGGUGUUUGAUGAAAGUUCAGUAAGGCUGUGAGGGAAUACCAAACGAGAGAGGAUCCAGUAUCUGUUACAUGCAUCAGAUAUAGAUUGCAGUCAAGACACUUGCUCCCUCGUCAUCGACGGAAGGAGGAGAGCAGCAGCCACAACAGGCGACGGUGCUGGCGAAUGCGUCAGACAUGAGUCGCUUCGGCUUCUUCCAGCGGCCCAGCCAUGACGCCCUCAAGCCGCCGAUAGCAGCGGCCCUCUCCCAAGCUACACUGCUCCUGAUCUUCGUCGCCCCACACCGUCGUACUAUGCACAGCUCAGCCUGGCCAUGAUGCUCUUAGCCCGCGGACGCUCACAGCGUAACCGACGGUGGCGACUCACUCCCAACCCGUGUUGCUCUCCAUCAGUGCUGACGGAUUAGUUUGUUUUACAGUGUGGGCACCAGGUCUCUGAGUAGUUUAAAUCUGAACGCAACACCAAGGCUGCCAGCCUGAGCAUUGCCGAACAGUACAGCAAAGCAUUUUCUGAACUUGCUAAAAGCAAACAUGGAAGCUCUCCCUAAUUCAUCGAUUAAAGGGAGGCAGGGGAGUUCCAGUUUGUGAGGACAGUGGCGACAUGGUUGACUGAAUGGCAAUAGGAAGAAGGCACAUCUCAUAUAAUUGUUUUAUUCAAGACAAGUCUACACUCUCUUAUGUCAAAUUUGCACAGAUUUCCCUGCCCUAGGCUAUUUCUAAGGGGGAGAGAAGAGUGUUAUUUUUUUGGGGGGAUUACAAAGAAUGGUAGCGCAUGAGGAGUAUUAGCCACGGAGGAGGGAGGAGACUGACAUGAGGAAAACAUAUUCUGGAUCGAUUUGGUUCUCAUGGUGGCAUCUUCCCUGCUUUCUCCUUUCUUUUUAUUUCCAACACUCUUUGGUACAGAGCGAUUAACAAACAACUGAACUGAAUAUUGCUUUUUCUCCUUUUCAGAUAAGUUAGUUUACAUUAGUUUUCUGUUUGCUUUCCGUAUGGAUCUAUAUAUGUUAUUUUUAUAUCCAGUUUUCUGGGUGCUUUUCAAAAAGGGGGAGACCCAUGGCCGAUAUAGUUGCAUUAAGGUGCAAUUUGAUAACUAAAUACAUAAUAUAAGUCCAUCAAAAUAUUACAUGCAUGUGUGCUGUUUGUGCUUGUAUACCUUCAAUCUGCUUUGUGGAAGGCUGUUCGUAUUAAACUUUAGUGCUCGGUUGUUCAUCAUAGUCCCAUUCCCUUGAUAAUUAAUAUUGAAGCAAUGAAAAAUAGGUGAAAUUGCAAGAAACUUGAAGAAGUGGAGGAACAUGACUCAGUCUGUCAUUGGGGACAUGUACUGUUACAGAUACACUCUGUAUUUCUACCUAUCGUUGGUGUGAUGUUUGAACAUUAAGUUGUCAUUUAAUUAUGGCAUUCCCUUCUGCUUUUGUUUAUGCUAUAACAAUAGCCGCAAACUAUCUUCGGGACGUAUGGCAGGUUUGCUGACAAUCUGAUUGCGUUGCAGGUUUGGUACUAAUUUCUCAAAAAAAAUCAUGCUUUUGCAGCACCGUCCUGUUGAGCCAUGAGAUCUAAACCAAGGAAUCCAGAUAACAUCGACUAUGUUUAUAGAUCACUACAUGUUCCGUUGGAACAUUGUGAGGUCCUUUUUCCAGUUUGCUACUAAAUUCUCAAAAAAGAAACGUUCUUAUGCAUCACCAUCAUGUGGAACCACGAUACCUGAACCAAUGAACUCAGUGAACAUAUAUUAUAUUUAUUAUGGAUCAUUACAUGUUCUGCUGGAACAAGUUGUUGCAGCGGCACAAACUCGGUUGCGUCCGCUAUGACCCCAAUCUUCGGAUUAUUAUAAGUAGAGGUUGAUCGUGUAGGAGGUGAAGAUGCUCACGCCUAAAGCCAAACUUGACGCCGUCGACGCCACCAUCCGGGAGCUCAUUUAUAUUGGCUUCGAAUGGCUACCGUUGUAUUUUCUGUACUUUUGGUUGUGGUCGUAAUUGUUACCCUGUGCCUUUGCAAGAAUAACUGAAAAUGGUGAUUUCUAUUGACUGGAAACCGAGUACUUGUCUAAUUAUUGUUCAAGAAAAUAUAGUGAGUCGUGUUCUUGGUUGCUAAUAGUAUAGUACACCUAUGCGGAUCCUUCUGUCGGACCGUUGAAUGGAAAUAACUCAAAAGAAGAUAAUAGAGGUGUUGUCUCUAUGCAAUCGGUAACUGUCAGUUCAGUUACAAAGAACGACCAUCACAAAUAACUUUGAGAUGUCCAUUGGUAAAGGUCAGUUUGGAGUAGUCUAUUUUGGCUACUUGAAAGAUGGAACCCCAGUUGCAGUCAAAACACGCUUAGAAUCAUCAUCUCAUGGGGUUAAUGAGUUCUUGGCAGAGGCUCUACAUCUAAUAAGAGUUCAUCACAGGAACUUGGUCAAUCUGGUUAGCCACUACAAGGAUGGACACCACUCAACUCUUGUCUACGAGUAUAAAUUGCUAAUUUGCAUUGCUCUUUCGUGCAACAAGUGCGUUGAUACUUACAAACAACGAGGCAUGUGACUAUUUACUAUCACUGUUGUUUGGUAUUUGAACAUGUCUUUUCGAGGGGGAGAUGGGAACAGAUUGACUCAGUGAAAGUUGGCUGCACGUAAACUAUUGUGAUCAAGUUGGAAAAAAAUGUUUCCCCUCUUAACUGCUUCUGUUGGAGACUGGGGUCAGUAGUCACUGAAAUUUGCACACGCAUGGAGGAAUGAAUGAUGAUUCUCAAGUAACGAAGUUGUAGCCUUCACGACAAGAUAAAUGGAUGAUUUUGCAGCUCAAGUGUUGCUACAUGUUACAGAUAACUAUGGCAUUCCAUUUUAAUGAAUCUGCAUAUUGCUGUUGAGCACCGGAAGCGAGGGAGGGCAUGGCUGCACUGGAGGUUGUCCCAAGGCGAGGGCAGGGCAGAGACAUGCAACAAUGAGGGUUGCAACCGUAAUCAAUAUCUCAACAUCGAAUCAUUUCCUAUAGCCUUCCAGCAAGUUCAUUCUUAUUUUCUGAUUGGGUCAUGUUAGGCCAGCAAAGUAAACCUAGAAAAACUGAUUAGGCAAUGAUGUUUUUGUUUAAUUUUAGUGUUUGGUAUUUGUUUCAGAUAUGAAUAAUUCUGGUUAUGGUUUCUGCAUUGCAUAGUGACGUUAUAAUGAGAUUAGAGAUAGUUGUCACGCAUCUCUUUUCACUACAAACA